rnacentral:misc_RNA from 1 species
AAGUCGUAACAAGGUUUCCGUAGGUAAACCUGCGGAAGGAUCAUUAACACGUAUCCAGCGUUAAAACCCCCCGUGAACUUUCAAUCCUGCUCUUGUAACCCGCGUAGUUCGCAAUCUCUGGUAAAUCAUAUUCAGAGACCUCUGGCUACGUGAGAACAAUGGAACAGUUACAAUCGAGCGGUAGUUUCAUAGGCAUUGUUUCCCCAAGCGGAAAGUGUCACUGAUUGUGCAAGGAUAGCGCUUCACGAUUCCUGUCCCCAUAACCCCACAGUUUGGAAAGCUCAAUGUAAUACAUUGGGUAAAAAAACUGAACAACUGUUAACAAUGGAGAACCUUGGUUCUC